UACGAAGGGGGCUAGCGUUGUUCGGAAUUACUGGGCGUAAAGCGCGCGUAGGCGGGCUGGUAAGUCAGAGGUGAAAUCCCGGGGCUUAACCUCGGAAUUGCCUUUGAAACUGCCAGUCUGGAGUCCUGGAGAGGGUGGUGGAAUUCCUAGUGUAGAGGUGAAAUUCGUAGAUAUUAGGAGGAACACCGGUGGCGAAGGCGACCACCUGGACAGGUACUGACGCUGAGGCGCGAAAGCGUGGGGAGCAAACAGG
rnacentral:rRNA from 1 species